CCUACGGGCGGCAGCAGUGGGGAAUAUUGCGCAAUGGGCGAAAGCCUGACGCAGCGACGCCGCGUGAGGGAUGAAGGUCUUCGGAUCGUAAACCUCUGUCAGCAGGGCAGAACGGUCACUGUGCUAAUCAGCAGUGACUUGACGGUACCUGCAAAGGAAGCACCGGCUAACUCCGUGCCAGCAGCCGCGGUAAUCCGGAGGGUGCGAGCGUUAAUCGGAAUUACUGGGCGUAAAGCGCUCGUAGGCGGUAUGUCAAGUCAAGGGUGAAAUCCCCGCGCUCAACGUGGGAACUGCCUUUGAAACUGGCAAACUGGAGUGUGUGAGAGGAUAGUGGAAUUCCAGGUGUAGGAGUGAAAUCCGUAGAUAUCUGGAGGAACAUCAGUGGCGAAGGCGACUAUCUGGCACAUAACUGACGCUGAGGAGCGAAAGCGUGGGUAGCAAACAGGAUUAGAUACCCCAGUAGUC
rnacentral:rRNA from 1 species